CUGUCCUAAGGUUGUUGAGUUG
rnacentral:miRNA from 2 species